CUGUACAAAGCAAGACAUGAAGACUGUGACCGCUUUCUGUGAAAGUCAAUGUUUGAUGUUUGAAGGUUUAUAUCUUGCAAAAGGAAGAUGGUUAAUUGCUCAGAUCUUAGGCAUUAGAAUCUUGUAAUGAAGAAAAUCCAGGCAUCUGAAAAUAAUACUGAACUUAUGUGAGACUUUGAAGGAGUAGAAGAGCCACCUGACCAAAGCUUCUAUUACUGAGGUCUGCAUCAUUGAUAGCAGUAAGUCAAAACUGAUGUAAUGUUAGAACAUGCUUAAAGGCCGAACUUAAAGGUAAGGGCCGGAAAGAAUGAUUCGACCUGAGGGAGGGAGGUGAGAACAAUGUACACAUCUUACUAUUAGAAGCUUUCCAAAAAUUCGUUUGUUACAUUUCAAGUUACUACCCUCAUCUUUAAUUUUAUUUGACAUAAAUGGUUCAUUUUGCUCAGCAAAUGCCACACAGUUGUGGUCCUUUAAUGCCUUAAGGUCUCCUCCUCAUCUUCUGUUAACUUUUUAAAGUAUUGUCUUAAGAACCACAUCACAUGAUAUCUGUGCAGUGGUUUCUCUUGUCUAAGAGCUCAAACCAUUAAUAAUUCUCCAGUAAGCUUUAGGAUCUUGAGUGCUUAUAUUAUUAACAAUAUUAGACUAAAACUUAUUAAACUGCUUAUUUAUUUCCUUAUUAUAGUCUUGACUGGUUUUCUUAUAGGCUUCAUUACUUUCACAGUUAUGCUGAUUUCUUGCUCUGAAAAAGGCUUCAUGCUUUCUUUCACAUUCAUAAUGACGCCAUGGACACUGCUUUUUCUAAUGGUAGUUGUGUCUUAUGGCUAGUGAGCAAUCCACUCAUUUGCACACUUUGGUUAAUAAUUCCAUUAACUGUCUGUACUAAGUUGUCAACAUGUUUGUGGGUUGCAUCAGCACCUACAACCCAUAGGGAAUCUAUUAACAUUUUGGUUUCAAAUAUUCUUGUCUGAACAAGGAAGCAGAAAAAAAACUCUUUUUUUACCUUCAUACCAUCUAGGUUAGCCUAAACCUCAGGACUUUACAUUAAUGCUAGUACCAGCAUCUAGGCUUUCAGAAUCUAUAACACUAACCUGUUAUCAUUACAACCAAUGUCAAGCUUCAACACAACAGGACAGUUAGCAUCAGAGAACAAUCCAUUAAACUCAAGCACUUCAAAGCCAUUCAUCCAAGUUAUAAGCCAUGUUGAGACAAUAGCAUAGUCAACCACAUUAACCUCCUUACAUGUGCACUUGCCAAUACUUUAUCAGAGCAAAAACAUCUGCUAACAAUUAUCAUGCUCACAGUAUUACAAAAAUCAAGUAAAAACGAUGAUUAUUUUUGCAUUACAUGAGACUCUACCUGGCAUGUCUUUGCCCUUGCGAGACUUUUUGCCGAUGACAUUGCCUUGUUUUCCGAUACGGUAGUAGGUUUGCAGAAUCAAUUAAAUAUUUUGAAUAUGACUAAACAUUUAGAACAAAGUAAAUUUAGAUCAAUCAAAUAUUGUAGUUUUUAGAAACGGUGGUUUUUAUUUCAAAGAAUGAAGAGAGGUUCCUAGAAAACAAAAAACUAUUAUCAAUACUUAUAAAUAUUUUGGACUGUAUUUGUCAAUUCAUUGUGUAUUUACUCAGGCUCUACAAGACCUUGCAGGAAAAGCACAGAAAGGAGUAGCUAGUAUCUUGAGAGUUUUUAUGGUCAUUACAGCUGUAACCCAUCAUUAUUUUUUAAAUUGUUUGAUAACCAAAUAAAAAAAUUUCUAUUAUAUGGCUCUGAAAUAUGGUGCUUGGUGCUGAUGUUAACAUUAUAGAAAACAUUCAUAAGUUUGUCAUGAAACGUUUUCUGGGCAUCACUUUUUGGAGCCCAAAUACUCUAGUUUACAGUCAGUAUGGAAGAUACCCACUUUAUAUAUGUACGUAUACAAGAUGCAUUAGAUACUGGCUUAGAAUAACUCAUCUCCCUUUGAACUUUCUACCCAGGAAAGAACUAGUAAUGUUAGAAAAGUUCCUUCAAAACAACAAAACAACUUGGCUGUACCACAUAAUGAUAACACUAUAAGUUUUGUUUCGGUAUUGUUUGGGUAAAACUGUUCUUAAGAGAAUUUAAACUAAGCUUAUAGACUGUCAUAAACAGGACUGGCACAAUAAACUUGCCAGUAGCUCACAUUUGUCUAUAUGCUCUUCUUUUGAAACAGUUAUUUUGCUUAGUCCAUAUCUCUCUGACCUCAGAUAUAUAGGUUUUAAAGACACCUCAGUCAGAGUUAGAUUAGAACUGAACUUCACUUUGUACUUGUUUGUCCUAGGUAUACCAAUUUUAAAGAAGGGUAUAUUCCACCCAAAUUCUGUAAAUUUCCACCUCACUUUAAAUUUUCUGUACUUAGGGCUGAUAAUAAUCCAGGUAUAACACAUUUUGCCAUUCAUCUUUACAAAGCAUUAGAACAGAGGAAUAAUGACAUGACACACUAGUCUUUAUCUGUAUAAUUUUAUAUAUGCUUACCUAGUUACGCAAUUUGUUUUUUUUAAUGCCCUAUUAAUACAACAAAAUCAUGUGAUAACUAGUCUUUUGAUAUGGGCCGAGGGGCAAAUCAAUAAAAAUGUUCAUUUGUUCGUUCAAGUACUGUUAUACACACUGGGCUAUUCGAGUACUGUUAUAUACACUGGGCUGUUCAAGUAUUGUUUAUACACAUGGGACUAUUCAAGUACCAUCAUACACACAAUUAGCAUGCUGAUCAAGCGAAUGCACAUAAUUUUCAGAAUUAUAAUCUUGCAGCAAAUUCUGAUGGAAUUCUUCUAUAGUCACAGCCGUCAAUACUGUGAUCUUGUGUUGUUUGUCCUACAUCAUCUUAUUCUGAUAAGCUUUUUUAUAGUCACACCGCCUUCAAUAUUAUGAUCUUGUCUUGCUCGUCCUAGUCUUGUUUUAACAAGCAGCAUUAAUUGAUUACGCCCUCCUUAUAUUGAAAUGCUUGUUUCAGACUGUUGCUCUUAAACUAACACAACUAUAUUAAUGCACUGUUGUGCUAUUAUUGGAAUGUCCUAGGAUUCAUUCAGGGUAUUUUUCGUAUCUUAGCACACAUUUAUCUAGGCUUUUCUCUUGCAUUAAUUUGUGUUAUAUCUACAGGAGACUGAGACAUAGGAAAAAUUUGCAGUAUGAGCGUACAAGUAACAACUGCCAAAGCAAAGCUGAGGCUGCAGAGCUGGUCAGAUUGACAUUUUCCAGCUAAAUGUUUUGCAAGCCUCAUUCAGUCAGUGCAACAUCGAAUUCACAUGACCAUUGGAGCCACCGCAAUUACGGAAGCCCAUUGUGAUUGUAAGGGAGGAUAAAUGAUGAAUUUUUUUACUAGGUAAAUGAAAACAGAAACAAUUUAUUAAUAAUAAUACUUUUAUAGUGAAGAAUCACAGCUGUACAUUAUAUACAAAAAAAAAAAA
rnacentral:lncRNA from 1 species